rnacentral:rRNA from 1 species
AUAACGGUCCUAAGGUAGCGAAAUUCCUUGUCAGGUAAGUUCUGACCCGCACGAAUGGUGUAAUGAUUUGGGCACUGUCUCAACAGCCCGCCCGGCGAAAUUGUAGUACCGGUGAAGAUGCCGGUUUCCCGCGACAAGACGGAAAGACCCCAUGGAGCUUUACUGCAGCCUAAUAUUGGGUUUCGAUAUUACAUGUACAGGAUAUGUGGGAGACAUGGAAGCACGGGCGUCAGCCUGUGUGGAGUCAGCCUUGGGAUACCACACUUGUGAUAUUGGAAUUCUAACCUGCGGCCCUGAAUCGGGUCGGGGGACAUUGUUAGGCGGGCAGUUUGACUGGGGCGGUCGCCUCCGAAAAAGUAACGGAGGCGUUCAAAGGUUGGCUCAGCUUGGACGGAAACCAAGCCAAAGAGUGCAAACGCAUAAGCCAGCCUAACUGCGAGACUGACGGGUCGAGCAGUAACGAAAGUUGGAGUUAGUGAUCCGGCGGUAUGUGAGUGGAAAUGCCGUCGCUCAACGGAUAAAAGUUACCCUGGGGAUAACAGGCUGAUCUCCCCCAAGAGUCCACAUCGACGGGGAGGUUUGGCACCUCGAUGUCGGCUCAUCGCAUCCUGGGGCUGUAUUCGGUCCCAAGGGUUUGGCUGUUCGCCAAUUAAAGCGGUACGCGAGCUGGGUUCAGAACGUCGUGAGACAGUUCGGUCCCUAUCUGUCGUGGGCGCAGGAUAUUUGACAGGAUCUGUCCCUAGUACGAGAGGACCGGGAUGGACGCACCUCUGGUGCACCAGUUGUCACGCCAGUGGCACAGCUGGGCAGCUAUGUGCGGAUCGGAUAAACGCUGAAAGCAUCUAAGCGUGAAGCCGGCCUGGAGAUAAGAUAUCCCACUGAGAUAAUCAGGUAAGACCCCUUGAAGACUACAAGGUUGAUAGGCUCAAAGUGUAAGCACGGUGACGUGUUCAGCUAGCGAGUACUAAUCGGUCGAGGGCUUGACCAC